GAUGAACGCUGGCGGCGUGCCUAAUACAUGCAAGUCGAGCGAACGGACGAGAAGCUUGCUUUUCUGAUGUUAGCGGCGGACGGGUGAGUAACACGUGGAUAACCUACCUAUAAGACUGGGAUAACUUCGGGAAACCGGAGCUAAUACCGGAUAAUAUUAUGAACCGCAUGGUUCAAAAGUGAAAGACGGUCUUGCUGUCACUUAUAGAUGGAUCCGCGCUGCAUUAGCUAGUUGGUAAGGUAACGGCUUACCAAGGCAACGAUGCAUAGCCGACCUGAGAGGGGGAUCGGCCACACGGGAGCUGAGACACGGUCCAGACUCCUACGGGAGGCAGCAGUAGGGAAUCUUCCGCAAUGGGCGAAAGCCUGACGGAGCAACGCCGCGUGAGUGAUGAAGGUCUUCGGAUCGUAAAACUCUGUUAUUAGGGAAGAACAUAUGUGUAAGUAACUGUGCACAUCUUGACGGUACCUAAUCAGAAAGCCACGGCUAACUACGUG
rnacentral:rRNA from 1 species